rnacentral:rRNA from 1 species
GACAGAGGGUGCAAGCGUUGUUCGGAAUUACUGGGCGUAAAGGGCGUGUAGGCGGCGAAGUGUGUCCGGCGUGAAAGACCUCGGCUUAACCGAGGAAGUGCACUGGAUACUACUUUGCUAGAGUACGAGAGGGGGUGGCGGAAUUGUCAGUGUAGAGGUGAAAUUCGUAGAUACUGGCAGGAACACCGGAGGCGAAGGCGGCCACCUGGUUCGUUACUGACGCUGAGACGCGAAAGCGUGGGGAGCAAACAGG